rnacentral:rRNA from 1 species
UACGGAAGGGGCAAGCGUUGUUCGGAAUUAUUGGGCGUAAAGGGCGUGUAGGCGGCUUCGCAGGUCUGUGGUGAAAGCAUACAGCUCAACUGUAUUGAGCCAUGGAAACGGCGGAGCUUGAGGCUGGGAGGGGCUGGUGGAAUUCCCUGUGUAGCGGUGAAAUGCGUAGAGAUGGGGGAGAACACUCGUGGCGAAGGCGGCCAGCUGGACCAGUUCUGACGCUGAGACGCGAAAGCGUGGGGAGCGAACAGG